GAUGAACGCUGGCGGCGUGCCUAAUACAUGCAAGUCGAGCGAACGGACGAGAAGCUUGCUUCUCUGAUGUUAGCGGCGGACGGGUGAGUAACACGUGGAUAACCUACCUAUAAGACUGGGAUAACUUCGGGAAACCGGAGCUAAUACCGGAUAAUAUUUUGAACCGCAUGGUUCAAAAGUGAAAGACGGUCUUGCUGUCACUUAUAGAUGGAUCCGCGCUGCAUUAGCUAGUUGGUAAGGUAACGGCUUACCAAGGCAACGAUGCAUAGCCGACCUGAGAGGGUGAUCGGCCACACUGGAACUGAGACACGGUCCAGACUCCUACGGGAGGCAGCAGUAGGGAAUCUUCCGCAAUGGGCGAAAGCCUGACGGAGCAACGCCGCGUGAGUGAUGAAGGUCUUCGGAUCGUAAAACUCUGUUAUUAGGGAAGAACAGAUGUGGAAGUAACUGUGGACAUCUUGACGGUACCUAAUCAGAAAGCCACGGCUAACUACGUG
rnacentral:rRNA from 1 species